GAUGAACGCUGGCGGCGUGCCUAAUACAUGCAAGUCGAACGCAUUGAGAGAAGUGCUUGCACUUUUCAAUUUGAGUGGCGAACGGGUGAGUAACACGUGGGCAACCUACCUGAUAGCGGGGGAUAACGAGUGGAAACAUUCGCUAAUACCGCAUAACAAUAGAGAAGGCAUCUUCUUUAUUUAAAAGGCGCUUUCAAGCGUCACUAUCAGAUGGGCCCGCGGUGCAUUAGUUAGUUGGUGGGGUGAAGGCCUACCAAGACGAUGAUGCAUAGCCGGGUUGAGAGACUGAUCGGCACGAUUGGGACUGAGACACGGCCCAAACUCCUACGGGAGGCUGCAGUAGGGAAUCUUCCACAAUGGACGAAAGUCUGAUGGAGCAACGCCGCGUGUGUGAUGAAGGCUUUCGGGUCGUAAAGCACUGUUGUAUGGGAAGAAAUGCUAGGCUAGGAAAUGAGCUUAGUUUGACGGUACCAUACCAGAAAGGGACGGCUAAAUACGUGCCAGCCGCCGCGGUAA
rnacentral:rRNA from 1 species